GAUGAACGCUGGCGGCGUGCCUAAUACAUGCAAGUCGAGCGAACAGAUGAGGAGCUUGCUCCUCUGACGUUAGCGGCGGACGGGUGAGUAACACGUGGAUAACCUACCUAUAAGACUGGGAUAACUUCGGGAAACCGGAGCUAAUACCGGAUAAUAUAUUGAACCGCAUGGUUCAAUAGUGAAAGACGGUUUUGCUGUCACUUAUAGAUUGAUCCGCGCCGCAUUAGCUAGUUGGUAAGGUAACGGCUUACCAAGGCAACGAUUCGUAGCCGACCUGAAAGGGGGAAGGGGCAAAAGGGAAAGGGAGAAAGGGACAAGAAACGAAGGGGGGGAGAAAGAGGGAAAAGUGCGGAAUGGGGGAAAAGAGGAAAGAAGAAAGGGGGGGGAGGGAAGGAAGGUUUAGGAGAGGAAAAACAUGGUAAUAGGGAAAAAAAAAAGGGGAAAGAAAAAAGGAAAGAAUGAAGGGAACAAAAAAAAAAAGAAAGGGCAAAAAAGUG
rnacentral:rRNA from 1 species